rnacentral:rRNA from 1 species
UACGAAGGGGGCUAGCGUUGCUCGGAAUCACUGGGCGUAAAGCGCGUGUAGGCGGUUUGUUAAGUCGGAUGUGAAAGCUCCGGGCUCAACCCGGAAAUUGCAUCCGAUACUGGCAGACUUGAGGACGGUAGAGGUCGGUGGAAUGGCGAGUGUACCGGUGAAAUGGGCAGAUAUUCGCCAGAACACCAGUGGCGAAGGCGGCCGACUGGGCCGUUCCUGACGCUGAGACGCGAAAGCGUGGGGAGCAAACAGG